rnacentral:rRNA from 1 species
UGUGCCUACGGGGCGCAGCAGUGAGGAAUAUUGGUCAAUGGGAGAGAUCCUGAACCAGCCAAGCCGCGUGAGGGAAGACGGCCCUAUGGGUUGUAAACCUCUUUUGUCGGAGAACAAAACCCGGGACGAGUCCCGGACUGCGUGUAUCCGAAGAAAAAGCAUCGGCUAACUCCGUGCCAGCAGCCGCGGUAAUACGUAUGGGGCAAGCGUUAUCCGGAUUUACUGGGUGUAAAGGGAGCGUAGGCGGCCUGGCAAGCCUGAUGUGAAAUACCGGGGCCCAACCCCGGGGCUGCAUUGGGAACUGC